CAAAAAUUGCCAAAAAGAAAUGUUCGCGUUUUUGCCUAAAAUAAAAGGUUUCAUAUUAGGCAAAAACGCGAACAUUUCUUUUUGGCAAUUUU
rnacentral:sRNA from 1 species